GAAGUACUCCCUCCGUUCGCAAAUACUUGUCUGAAAAAUAGAUGUAUCUAGACUUAUUUAAUUAUAGAUACAUUUAUUUUUUGCAUUUGUAGGACAAGUAUUUUCGGACAAAGGGAGUAUAUA
rfam:Triticum aestivum genome assembly, contig: Triticum_aestivum_CS42_TGACv1_scaffold_000855_1AL